rnacentral:rRNA from 1 species
AUCGACUAGCAUGCGAGUCAGGUGUCUUCGGACGCCGGCAUACGGCUCAGUAACACGUAGGUAACCUACCCUCAGGACUGAGAUAACCCCGGGAAACUGGGGCUAAUAUUAGAUAGAUAAAAGAUAUUGGAAUGUUCUUUUAUCCAAAGCUUUUGCGCCUGAGGAUGGGCCUGCGUCCGAUUAGGUUGUUGGUGGGGUAAUGGCCCACCAAGCCUGCGAUCGGUACGGGCAGUGGGAGCUGAAGCCCGGAGUUGGGGACUGAGACAAGGCCCCAGGCCCUACGGGGCGCAGCAGGCGCGAAACCUCUGCAAUGCGGGAAACCGUGACAGGGGGAUCCCAAGUGCUCAUGCAUUGCAUGGGCUGUUCUUUGGUCUAAGUAACCAGAGGAGU